rnacentral:rRNA from 1 species
CGCGUAGGCGGCUUGUACAGUCAGACGUGAAAUUCCUGGGCUCAACCUGGGGGCUGCGUUUGAUACGUAUGGGCUUGAGUUCGGAAGAGGGUCGUGGAAUUCCCAGUGUAGAGGUGAAAUUCGUAGAUAUUGGGAAGAACACCGGUGGCGAAGGCGGCGACCUGGUCCGAUACUGACGCUGAGGCGCGAAAGCGUGGGGGAGAAAC